rnacentral:lncRNA from 1 species
GAAAAAGAGGGGAUCAAAGACUCCCGGUGAUGUACGCCCGAAGGCCACCAGGUGACGGAUUCUGACCUUAUCACAGAGAGAGGGUGGAUUCCGGGGCAAUCCGAUUCAAGUCCGAGUCCACUCCGAUUUCCCAAUCCCUGUCUUGCAGCAGAAGCUCUCGGGUCCUGGAAGCGCGGAGCCUCUCUGGCCUUGAGCCCCGAGGGCAUGGCCCUGUGAUGUCACAAGGUGGCGUGACAGCCGGGACGAACCCCGACCCCCAGCGCGGCAUCCUUCCCGCGGCCAGCGACCACCGCCUCCCGGGAAGGUGGCUGACCACAGCCGCAAGCCGCUGCGCGCCCGGCAAGCCGAAUGGAAGGACGGCGCGGGCAAACGAACGCCCAGUGAGGUCCAGAGAAGAGAGGGACCUUCCGAGGGUCUUCUAGUCGAUCUCGGACAGGCUUUUGAGUGCCUUUUAAGCAUUCCAAAAUUUUCAGGAGACAACAGUAAUUUACAAAAUAGAGUAGAAUU